UGUUUGUUUGUUUGUUGGUCUGUAAUCAGAAUAUCUCAAAAAGCAGUGAACAGAUUUUCACAAAAAUUUGUUGAAGGAAUACACAUGUUCGAGUACCCUGGAUUCCAGAGCCUUCGACAGUAAAUAACUGAUAAAUUGAAAUGUCGCGAAGGCUCUGGUUCAACGAGGCGAUUCUUUGAUUAAACCGCGCCAAUCACAAAACAGAAUUAGUGGUUUUACUGUACUGAAACCACUAAUUCAGUUUUGUGAUUGGCGCGGUUUAAUCAAAGAAUCGCCCCGUUGAACCAGAGCCUUCGCGACAUUUCAAUUUAUUAUUUACUGUCGAAAGCUCUGGAAUCCAGGGUAAUGUUCGAGGGACCAACUGGUUAAAUUUAGUUCAAUUUGGAUGAAGGAUGGAUAAGUAUUUACAAAAAUUUCCCUUGCUGUCCAAGCCGAAACUAGAUGAACAUAAAUUGUAUUUUAAGAAAAUACAAAAUAUAAAUUGUAUAAUUUAUGCAAGAUAUAUGCUUAAUUCCUGGUGCAUUUUUCGAGUGCCCACUAGUUUGUAAUGUUUAUAGGACUUACGGAGAUUAGUCAGUUGUGUAAAAGAGCGAGGGGGACACGGGGUGGGUGAGGGGUUAGCUGAGCCCCCUUCCGCAAGGUAUGGGGGGGCGAGCCCCCUACAAUAUUUUACAAGAGUGCUUACUUACACACCAUCAAAAGCAAUAAUAGUGAUUAAUUAGGCAACGUAAUUUAGUAGACACUGAUCCAAAACUAAAAGCUGGCCCUAUAUAUUGCCAAUUUUCCCCGAUAGGUUUCAUUCACCAAGCA